AUACUUUUAAUUUUGGUCUCUGUUGGCUCUCUAAUGGCUGGUCCGUACUUCAGGGGAAUGCGAAAGUUAAGAUUUGGCAUCGCGGAACAUUUCAACUUCUGCGAAUUGGCAGCAGGAAUAUUUGAGUUGAUGUCACAGUUCCAUGUUCAUGAUGGUUUUCAUGCAUAGGGUGCCUUCUAUUCAUAUUUCUAUGUAAAUACAAAUGUCCAUAUUCAUGAGAAAAACUGUACAAUGUAAUGUCAAGUUAGGCAGGGGGGUUCAGGGUAACACUUCAUUUCAUUUUGGAUUUAUGAUUUAUUUAUGCUUAGUUCAACACAAAAGCAGUGUCUAUACAAAACUGUAAAUAGUAAAAAGCACAUUUCUGCAAUAUUUAAUUCACACGGAAUUGACAAUUCUUUUUUUAGCAUUUAGGGGCACCUGGUAUGGCACGAAAUGCAUUUUAGUAGGAUAUCAUUCCAUAAAUCCUGUAGAGGACCACAAUGGGCUAAAAGGAUUAUGUCCAUGCAAGAAAAGUUACCCAUUCAAAAAGGGAAAUGUUGAGGCUACAGCGGGGGCUCUUGGAAAACCAUUUUAUAGUUUAUUUUCAUCAUGCAGUUACAAUUAUCUUAUAAAUAAUCCCUCCAAGAUGGCUGCCGUAUAAUGUGCUUACCCAAGCUUUAAUUUUGUAAAUUUUUGCACUCCAUAGUUAGGUGAAAUUCCCAGGCGCGCCAUAGCUAGGUGGCAGCGCGUGUUGGGUAUGCGUGGUACGUUGCUUUAAGUUUAACUGUUUGACAUGUACGGACAGUUUUUGUUUUCACGGUCUCCAACUUUGUGUCUGAGAGCCCUAAAAUUGUAGUACUUUUAGAAGCUAUAACGUGAGGGUUAAGCAUCCAUAUAUUUUUAUGUAAGUUAAGCUCCAUUAUUGUGUUGUUAAUAUGAUUAUGAAGGUUUCAUUUUAUUGUGAUUUUGGAGUUUAUUUUGUCCGUCUCAGUUUAGUAAUGUAUAAGAUUAUGUCAAUCUACAUGUACACGUUAGUUUACAUGUACCAUAAAUCCAGAGUCAGAUUCACGUAUUUUGAAACUUAUAGUUGCCAUUAUCACUGUCAUCCGUUACAGAGACAUUGUGCUGGGUGAGCCCGGUGUUUGUUAAACCCUUUUAAGAACAUCUGUGACAGUUCUUUACAUGAGAUUCUGAUUGUGUCAGAGGAAGCCUGGAAGCCCACAAGUCUUUUUACCCACAAACUUCAAGGCACAUAGUACCAGUUCAUGGAAGUUCAUGGAAUAAAGACAUUCUUCGAAGUAAA